GACGAACGCUGGCGGCGUGCUUAACACAUGCAAGUCGAACGGAAAGGCCCUGCUUUUGUGGGGUGCUCGAGUGGCGAACGGGUGAGUAACACGUGAGUAACCUGCCCUUGACUUCGGGAUAACUUCAGGAAACUGGGGCUAAUACCGGAUAGGAGCUCCUGCUGCAUGGUGGGGGUUGGAAAGUUUCGGCGGUUGGGGAUGGACUCGCGGCUUAUCAGCUUGUUGGUGGGGUAGUGGCUUACCAAGGCUUUGACGGGUAGCCGGCCUGAGAGGGUGACCGGCCACAUUGGGACUGAGAUACGGCCCAGACUCCUACGGGAGGCAGCAGUGGGGAAUAUUGCACAAUGGGCGGAAGCCUGAUGCAGCAACGCCGCGUGCGGGAUGACGGCCUUCGGGUUGUAAACCGCUUUCGCCUGUGACGAAGCGUGAGUGACGGUAAUGGGUAAAAAAGCACCGGCUAACUACGUG
rnacentral:rRNA from 1 species